rnacentral:rRNA from 1 species
CACGUAGGGGGCAAGCGUUGUCCGGAUUCAUUGGGCGUAAAGAGCUCGUAGGCGGUUCGAUAAGUCGGGUGUGAAACCUCCAGGCUCAACCUGGAGACGCCACCCGAUACUGUCGUGACUAGAGUCCAGUAGGGGAGCGUGGAAUUCCUGGUGUAGCGGUGAAAUGCGCAGAUAUCAGGAGGAACACCGAUGGCGAAGGCAGCUCGCUGGGACGGUACUGACGCUGAGACGCGAAAGCGUGGGGAGCAAACAGG